UCCACCGAGAGUGCCUGGAGAGCUGGAUUCAGCGCACGGUGGACCCCCAGUGCCAGGUCUGCCACUUCCAUUUCACAGUCCGAAAGCAGGCGCAGCCAAUAUGGUGCCUGCUUUCGGAUGCCGAGUACCGCUGUCCAGUGUUCGGAUACCUGGCCUUGGGCGCACUGUUUGUGCUGGGCAUCGCAUUCGUUUUCCCUCUGGCCUGGUUGUAUGCGGUCUGCUUGCCUACCCGCGUCGGAGACACACUGGCCGCCACCGUGGUCGUAGUUCUGGCGGUGCAGAACAUCUUGUGGCUGUACUUCCCUUUCGUCAGCUUUAGGUCCUCGUACAAAGCGUACAAGAAGUGGCACGAAGAGAG